CCUACGGGAGACAGCAGUGGGGAAUAUUGCACAAUGGGGGAAACCCUGAUGCAGCGACGCCGCGUGGGCGAAGAAGUAUUUCGGUAUGGAAAGCCCUAUCAGCAGGGAAGAAGAAAUGACGGUACCUGAGGAAGAAGCACCGGCUAAAGACUGGCCAGCAGCCGCCGUAAUACGUAGGGUGCAAGCGUUAUCCGGAUUUACUGGGGGUAAAGGGAGCGCAGGCGGCACGGCAAGCCUGAUGUGAAAGCCCGCGGCCCAACCGCCGGACUGCAUUGGAAACUAGCGGGCUGGAGUGCCGGAGAGGUAGGCGGAAUGCCUAGUGUAGCGGUGAAAUGCGUAGAUAUUAGGAGGAACACCAGUGGCGAAGGCGGCCUACUGGACGGUGACUGACGCUGAGGCUCGAAAGCGUGGGGAGCAAACAGGAUUAGAUACCCGUGUAGUC
rnacentral:rRNA from 1 species